rnacentral:lncRNA from 7 species
GGGCGUGGCUAAGCCCCUUGUGGGCGUGGCCAAGCGGCGCGCGAUCCAAUCAUCAGCUUUGGUUUGAUCCCCGCCCCUUCCGGCCCGCCUGCAGCCGACUUCCGGCGUCGCAGCGCCGCCAUUGGCUGAGGGCGCUGCGGCAAAAUGGCGGCGGCGGCGGUGAUGCUGCUCUGCUUCUCCGCGGCGCUGCGCGGAGCCGCGGCGGGGGGGGCGGUGCCGCUCGUGGCCUGGUCCACCGCCAGUGGGCUUUGGUCUGCCCCACCGCCCCCCCCCUGCCGCUGCUGGGCAUCUGUUGGAGGACCACCAGUUGGGGGCGCUGUUGGAACCCGCCCUCACCCGGGGACCCCGCACUGUCCUGCUGGUGCUGCACGAUGAGCUGAGCGUGGAGGACUUCACGGCGUUCGGAGGCGUCCAUGGGGACAGCGCGGACAGCGCCUUCCCGAGGCUGCAGGUGGGGGCGGGGCUUACGGCGGGGGGCGGGGCUUAGGCGGGUAGGGGGCGGGCGGAUGUGGAUGGCGGGGCCAAUGGUGUUGAGGGGGCGGGGCUUAGAAGGGCUGGGUUGUGUUAGGGGCGGGGCUAGUGGGUGAGCUGGGCCAAUGGUGUGGAGGGGUGGGGCUUGGACGGCUGGGUGC